AUGAACGCUGGCGGCGUGCCUAAUACCUGCCAGUCGCGCGAACAGACGAGGAGCUUGCUCCUCUGACGUUAGCGGCGGACGGGUGAGUAACACGUGGAUAACCUACCUAUAAGACUGGGAUAACUUCGGGAAACCGGAGCUAAUACCGGAUAAUAUAUUGAACCGCCUGGUUCAAUAGUGAAAGACGGUUUUGCUGUCACUUAUAGAUGGAUCCGCGCCGCAUUAGCUAGUUGGUAAGGUAACGGCUUACCAAGGCGACGAUGCGUAGCCGACCUGAGAGGGUGAUCGGCCACACUGGAACUGAGACACGGUCCAGACUCCUACGGGAGGCAGCAGUAGGGAAUCUUCCGCAAUGGGCGAAAGCCUGACGGAGCAACGCCGCGUGAGUGAUGAAGGUCUUCGGAUCGUAAAACUCUGUUAUUAGGGAAGAACAAAUGUGUAAGUAACUAUGCACGUCUUGACGGUACCUAAUCAGAAAGCCACGGCUAACUACGUG
rnacentral:rRNA from 1 species